UAUAAUGCAGUCGAGCGAACAGAUAAGGAGCUUGCUCCUUUGACGUUAGCGGCGGACGGGUGAGUAACACGUGGAUAACCUACCUAUAAGACUGGGAUAACUUCGGGAAACCGGAGCUAAUACCGGAUAACAUAUUGAACCGCAUGGUUCAAUAGUGAAAGGCGGCUUUGCUGUCACUUAUAGAUGGAUCCGCGCCGUAUUAGCUAGUUGGUAAGGUAACGGCUUACCAAGGCAACGAUACGUAGCCGACCUGAGAGGGUGAUCGGCCACACUGGAACUGAGACACGGUCCAGACUCCUACGGGAGGCAGCAGUAGGGAAUCUUCCGCAAUGGGCGAAAGCCUGACGGAGCAACGCCGCGUGAGUGAUGAAGGUCUUCGGAUCGUAAAACUCUGUUAUCAGGGAAGAACAAAUGUGUAAGUAACUGUGCACAUCUUGACGGUACCUGAUCAGAAAGCCACGGCUAACUACGUGCCAGCAGCCGCGGUAAUACGUAGGUGGCAAGCGUUAUCCGGAAUUAUUGGGCGUAAAGCGCGCGUAGGCGGUUUUUUAAGUCUGAUGUGAAAGCCCACGGCUCAACCGUGGAGGGUCAUUGGAAACUGGAAAACUUGAGUGCAGAAGAGGAAAGUGGAAUUCCAUGUGUAGCGGUGAAAUGCGCAGAGAUAUGGAGGAACACCAGUGGCGAAGGCGACUUUCUGGUCUGUAACUGACGCUGAUGUGCGAAAGCGUGGGGAUCAAACAGGAUUAGAUACCCUGGUAGUCCACGCCGUAAACGAUGAGUGCUAAGU
rnacentral:rRNA from 1 species